UAAGGUGGUUAUUGCGGCGGGGCUCACCUCUUCCCAUUUCGAACAGAGAAGUUAAGCCCGCCRGCGUCGWUGGUACUGCUUUUGUGGGAGAGUAGAUCGCCGCCUUUC
rnacentral:rRNA from 1 species